GGUUGACCUCAAAUCA
rnacentral:rRNA from 2 species